GCAUGCCUACAACAUAGAAUUAAUGCACCAGAUCUCAUUAGAACUCUGCAGUUAAGCGUGCUCAAGCUAGAGUAGUACUGGGAUGGGUGACUGCUUGGGAAGUCCUAGUAUUUUACAUGCC
rnacentral:rRNA from 1 species